rnacentral:rRNA from 1 species
UACGGGGGGGGCAAGCGUUGUUCGGAUUUACUGGGCGUAAAGGGCGCGUAGGCGGUAGCACAAGUCAGUUGUGAAAUCUCCGGGCUUAACUCGGAAAGGUCAACUGAUACUGCGCGACUAGAGUGCAGAAGGGGCAACUGGAAUUCUCGGUGUAGCGGUGAAAUGCGUAGAUAUCGAGAGGAACACCUGCGGCGAAGGCGGGUUGCUGGGCUGACACUGACGCUGAGGCGCGAAAGCCAGGGGAGCGAACGGG